rnacentral:tRNA from 1 species
GGAGAGAUGGCCGAGCGGCUUAAGGCGCCGGUUUGCUAAACCGGUGUACGGGCUUAAACCUGUACCGCGGGUUCAAAUCCCGCUCUCUCCG